UGGGGAAUAUUGCACAAUGGGCGCAAGCCUGAUGCAGCAACGCCGCGUGAAGGAUGAAGGCCUUCGGGUUGUAAACUUCUGUCCUAGGGGAAGAAAAAAAUGACAUUACCCUUGGAGGAAGCCCCGGCUAACUACGUGCCAGCAGCCGCGGUAAUACGUAGGGGGCGAGCGUUAUCCGGAAUUAUUGGGCGUAAAGAGUGCGUAGGUGGCAUCUUAAGCGCAGGGUUUAAGGCAAUGGCUCAACCAUUGUUCGCCUUGCGAACUGGGGUGCUUGAGUGCAGGAGAGGAAAGUGGAAUUCCUAGUGUAGCGGUGAAAUGCGUAGAUAUUAGGAGGAACACCAGUGGCGAAGGCGACUUUCUGGACUGUUACUGACACUGAGGCACGAAAGCGUGGGGAGCAAACAGG
rnacentral:rRNA from 1 species